rnacentral:rRNA from 1 species
UACGGGGGGGGCAAGCGUUGUUCGGAAUUACUGGGCGUAAAGGGCUCGUAGGCGGCCAACUAAGUCAGACGUGAAAUCCCCAGGCUCAACCUGGGAACUGCGUCUGAUACUGGAUGGCUUGAAUUCGGGAGAGGGAUGCAGAAUUCCAGGUGUAGCGGUGAAAUGCGUAGAUAUCAGGAGGAACACCAAUAGCGAAGGCAGCUCGCUGGGACGGUAUUGACGCUAAGGCGCGAAAGCGUGGGGAGCAAACAGG